rnacentral:rRNA from 1 species
CUACGGGAUGCUGCAGUGAGGAAUAUUGGACAAUGGAGGAAACUCUGAUCCAGCCAUGCCGCGUGAGUGAAGAAGGCCUUAGGGUUGUAAAGCUCUUUCAAUAGCGAAGAUAAUGACGGUAGCUAUAGAAGAAGCUCCGGCUAAAUUCGUGCCAGCAGCCGCGGUAAUACGAAUGGAGCAAGCGUUGUUCGGAAUCACUGGGCUUAAAGCGUGCGCAGGCGGAAACGAAAGUCAGAAGUGAAAUCCCAGGGCUCAACCUUGGAACUGCUUUUGAAACUUCGUUUCUAGAAUCCGAUAGAGGUAAGGAGAAUUCCUAGUGUAGAGGUGAAAUUCGCAGAUAUUAGGAGGAAUACCAGUGGCGUAGGCGCCUUACUGGGUCGGUAUUGACGCUCAUGUACGAAAGCGUGGGGAGCAAACAGGAUUAGAUACCCCAGUAGUC